UACGUAGGGUGCAAGCGUUGUCCGGAAUUAUUGGGCGUAAAGAGCUCGUAGGCGGCUCGUCGCGUCUGCUGUGAAAGCCCGGGGCUUAACCCCGGGUCUGCAGUGGGUACGGGCGGGCUAGAGUGCGGUAGGGGAGACUGGAAUUCCUGGUGUAGCGGUGAAAUGCGCAGAUAUCAGGAGGAACACCGGUGGCGAAGGCGGGUCUCUGGGCAGUAACUGACGCUGAGGAGCGAAAGCGUGGGGAGCGAACAGG
rnacentral:rRNA from 1 species